UGAUCUUCCUCUCCGAGGCCCACGGGAAUCUGGUUAGGGUUUUGGGCUGCUGUUUGGAGACGAGCUCUCCCUUGGUAGUUUACGAGCUCCACGGCGACGGCAACCGCACCCUCGCCGACUGCUGCACGCGCGGCGGCGCGUGCGCUGGCAUCCUCCGGGCGGCGGUGAGGGGGCUCGCCGACCUGCGGUCGCGGAAUGCGAGGGCGGCGGGGUUCCUCCACGGCAACUUCUGCGGCGGCAACGUUUUGUUGGAUGAUUCUUUUGAUGCGAAGCUGUUCUACGCCGCCGCCUCCGGCAACCUCGUCGCUGAUCGAGAUCGUGUUGGUUUCGAUGACAAGGACGUGUGUAGCUUCGGAGCAGUGCUGGAUGAGCUGCUGUCGACGCGUCGGAGGGCGCCGGAGAGUGACGGGGAUCUCGCCACGUGGCUGCUGUCGGAAGAUUCGGAAGUAGUUUAUGUGAAGGAGGUUGCCGCCAUGGCUGCGAGAUGCAAGAGUGUGCUGCCGGAGGAGAGGCCUACCUUGUCUGAAUUGGAAGCUACGCUUAGUAGAUUGAUUGGAAAUUUAUAGAGCACAACUAGUUGCUAAUACGUUUCUGUUAUGCUAUUUUGUAGCCUUAAAUCAUAUUUGACUAUUUGUAAGCAUUGAUUCCAUCGUGUACAGUUUUAAAUAGAGAAUCAGAUCUGAUCAAUGAAAAACAGUUUCCAUUUCCACUUUUCAUAUUCUUAUUCUCUCAUGGCUACUGUUCAGCCAUAUUUCCCCUCGAUCCACCUAAAGAUUUGAGGAUGUGCUUCUUCUCCCAAUAUCGCUCCGCUGCAAUUCAAAAUUCGGACUUUGAUAUGGCUACGUUAUGAUCAAUUUAUUUUCAGUUGGAUUCUUGCUGCGAUCUCUCAUUCAAUGAUCGGAUAAAAAUAAUUUGAAUAAUAGAAAUAAUCAAAUUCAAAUUCAACUCCAGACGCUAGUGAUGAUUAUAUUUUGAAAUUUCGAGGCAUUUCUGAUCAGUUAUCCAAUAUUGGUCAACAAAUUGCAGAAACUGAUUUUUAAAUACCCAUGUCCCAAAGAAAUAAGACAUUUAUAAUUGAAGUAAUAUUUUAUUUUAAAAUAAAUAUUAAUUCAAUAAAGAAACUAAUAUUAGGAGACAAAUGAUUGGACAAAGAGUUGGGACAUCUGAUUCUAACGAUAGGACAAUAAAGAAACUAAUAUUAGGAGACAAAUGAUAGGACAAAGAGUCGGGACAUCUGAUUCUAACGAGUUUCCUGAGGGUUAUAGGGUUUAGGAGUGAGAGGAUUUUUUAGGACAGUAACUUAUGUUAAUUUGGAAAUUAGGACAAAAACUUUUUGACUUGUAAAAUUUUUUUAGAGUAAAAUAAGACACUAAUUAAUAAGCGUCGUAAAAAUAAGACAUUUCUCGGCCGAGAAUUGGUCUGACAAAUGUCCUGCGGGUGCAACACUUAUUAAUUAGUGUCAUAUUUUACUCUAAAAAAAUUAGUGUCCUAUUUUUAUAAGUCCGAAUGUUUUUGUCCUAAUUUUCAAAUCAACCUAAGUUACUGUCCUAAAAAACUCUCGAACUCCUAGGGUUUAGUACAGUACGUAUAAAAGUAUAAUAGCACAUCUAUUAUUAUUUUUAGGGGUAUUAGCCUAUAAAUAUCCGAACUUUUUCUAUUUUCUGAUUUUGCACCCUAACUUUAAAAUUUGCCUGAAAAUACCCGAACUUUAUAUUCUUUCUGAUUUUGCACCCAACGAAUUUUCACCCCCAAAUCGUUAAUAAAAUGGCAGUCGGAUUGAGAGGCAAGUUUGAAUUUCAUAACGAAACAAAUAAGUUUAUUGUCAAUUUGAGAUCUAAAACAUGUAAUUGUAGAUUUGAGAUGUCAAUCCGGCUAUCAUGUUAGCAACAAUUUCGAGGUAAAAUUCGUUGGGUGCAAAAUAAAAAAGAAUACAAUGUUCGAGUAUUUACAGAAAAUUUUUAAAGUUCGGAUGCAAAAUAAGAAAAUGGAAAAAGUUCGGGUAUUUAUAGACCAAUACCCUUUAUUUUUAUAUGAAAGGCGAUGGUAAAAAGAAUUACUAGUAACUACUCCCUCCGUCCCACUCCAAUAUGCUCGUUUUCCUUUUUGGGACGUCUCACUCCAAUAGGCCUAGUCUAAAAUUAGAAAUAAUUAGGGCUCUAAUUAAAAUUAUAACUAGUUACUUAAAGGGGAUAUACACCCCUAAUUAAAACCCUAAAAACUCUCAUUCACGUUUUCCUCCCACCUCUGCUCAAAAUUCUUUGUCGCCACUUCCCAAAAUUUGGCGACUGGUCGCGCCUCAACGGCUCUGAAACUCCGGCCUCUUUUCUCAUUCGGCCCUCUUCCCGAUUCUCCAGAAAUUGCCCACCGGAACAAGCCCUAACUCUAGUAACCUCAAGUGGAACUCAAUUUGGAGCCCUAACUCUCCCCUCUUCCUCAAUCUCAACGGAAACACACAAUUGUGGGAAAAAUGUCGAGCCCCAACUUCUCCGAUCGAGCCUCUCUCUUUCUUCCUCUUGGUUCAGGCAAAGUCGCCUCUGUAACUUCGGACGAAGUCGACGCCGCUCUUCGGCCUGUGAAAUUGUGAAAUUCGCCUCAAUAAUUUAACCUCUUAUUUUUCUAUUUUAUUUCUUUUUUAAAAUUGUGAAAUUCGACUAAUUAUAAAAUAUUUGAUAUGUAUAUCAAAUUAAAGAUCAUGACAAGAGCUUUAACUUGGUAUAAGUUAUGUAAAUAUUGGAUUUAAAAUAUAAAAAUUAUAUUUAUUUAAAAAUUAAAACUUAAGAAAUUUCUCCCCUCCUCCUCCUCCUCUUUUUUUUUUGAAUAAUCUAUUUUUUUUCAAUUUUUUAACUUAUAUUUUUUCUUUUUUACAAUAUCAAUUUUUAUAAUAUGAAUUAUUCUUUAUUAUUUUUAUAUUAAACUAAAUUAUUAUCUUAAAUUAUAGUAUUUUUAAUUAUAUUUAGAUUUUAUAUAAUAAUCAAAUUAAUAUAAAUUUUAAAUAUAAUAAAAUAUAAAAAUAUUUUUCGUGCGUUGCACGAGUGUAAAUGCUAGUUAAUAUAUAUUUUAAAAUUUGAAUUGAUAUAAAAGUAAAUCCAGCAGCCAAAAGGAGUGAAGUGAUCCAAGCUAAUUCGAAAAUCGAUUCGAGAGAAAUGCGAACUUAAUUUCGAAAUACUCGAAGUAAAUCUGAAAAUUUAUCGAAUCGAGCUCGAACUCAAGAUCAAACUAUAUUUGACAUUUGAAAAAUAAGGAGGCACGAUAGAACAUACAACACCAUGUAAUUAAUUAUUUGGUACACGAAUUUAUUUAAUUAAACGCUUAGAGCAUUACUAUAUAACAAUAACAAGAUCAAUGAGAAAGCCUCCGUCAAAAGAAACAUCUCAACAAACUCAUCCAGCAAAAAAUGCAAUAAAAUUGUUUUAAAAAUGGAUAAUUUUCCAAAAAUUCAUCAUCUUUGAGACAACUUUGUUGACACUAUAUUUAAAAACAUUCCAAUAAUAAAAACAAAAUAAAAAAAGCCAAUAUUCAUUAGUAUUUAUUAAGAUUAAGAUAUACAUGCAAGCUAAAACACACAACAUGUUAAUUUACAUUGCAGAUAAGAGCAACCAUUUCUUGUAAGAAAGCAUAGAAACAACUGUAUGAAAAAUGGUUAGUAUGAGAAGCACAGCAGCUGAUAUCUUCAAGUAAUUCCUCCUCACUCUUGCCAUCCAUCUCCCACGUCGAAGCCGUUUGCAUCUGUUCAAACUCUCAAACACAUUUGAAUAGCAAAAAUCUGAUGAUGAACCACAACAUUCUUCCCCAAUCUGUUGAACAUGCUGCAGAUCAUCUCAUCACUGCCUAUGAAGUUGCUGAUGACCCCACUUCGUCGUAGUAUCUCAACAUCUUUGGUGGAUCUGAUGAAACAAUGUAUGAAAAACAAGUAAUCUUUCACAUACCUCGGAUGAUCAUCAGGGAAGAAGCAGAGCUCGUACGCGAUCAAGUUCCUCAACAUGGACUCAGUCUUAUCUGAUAUGCACAAUGUGGGAGUUUAUGACUCCAUUGGCAAAACUGAUAUCCUUAGAGUGAUCCUCUCGACCCGUGUAGCCUAAUCCCGGCCUCCUCCAUCUCCGAGGCAGAGCACGUGUUGUGCACCGUGUUGCUACCGUUGUUUUCAGUGAAGCACUUGGCUGAGAAUGAGAAUGAGAAGAAAGAAUCAUACACUAGGCCUAAUAUAUGCUCAGCAUUGUGCAACAUUUCUGAACUAUAGUCGAGCUUUGAGGAAUCCGGCCAUGGGAGCACGUCUCCGGCUAGAAAGAGGAGGAGAUGGUGUAUGUUAUCGUCUGGAUGUUCCAUCCUUGUCAUGUCGAAAAGCUCGUUCAACACGAAGAAAGGGAGCUGGUUCUCCAACAACAGAAGAUCAUGCCUUAUUUGGACUAACAUGUGAUCAAAUUGAAAUAUUUGAUCACUCAUGUCUCUCAAAUCACUAAACCAAUAGCUUCUCAGCAGCUCAAUCACGAAGCAUCCAUCAAGAAGCAACAUCUCCACGAACUCAUCUUGAUCAAGACUGAUUGAUUUCGCGUAGUAAAGGCGAGCCUUUUCCUCCAUGCUCCUCACUUCCAACACACAUUUCUCAACACUCAACUCAUCCCUUCUUCCUAAUGUUUUUCUUAGAUACCUCAGCUUGUGCUGCUCCAUGGCCUUAACGCGAUCUUUCCCACGAUGGAUUGGGCCUAUAGAGACUAAUUCGGGUUCAAAAUCCUUUUCAUUUACUUGCCUCAGGUGUUGAUCUACUUUGGCUAUGAUAGGCUUUGAGGGAGUGAGAGAAGUAGACAAAUGAUGAAGCAAGUUUUCAAUCCUAACAACAACACAGUCUCUCUCCUCUGUCAUCUUCAAGAAUUAAGCCAAGAAACCAGAAAAUAUAUAUGCUACAAAAGAAGAAAACACCAUAAAAAUAUUAAACAUGUAGCAAUCUACAUAGGUUCAUUUGUUAUUGAAACUUACAAGAUAAACAAAAUGUAGAGCAUACUUACUAGAUUAUCACCAGGGAAUUUGAGUGGCUGAAACACGAACAAAGUUGUACAUUGCAGCUGAUUUCUUCGUGUUAUUUUCUUUUUAAAGAACUUUUUUCAUUAUUGUAUUGACAAAAUGAGUGUUCGGUGCAACCAAACAGAAAUUAUUGUAUUUUAAUUAAGGUAAAUUUCCAGGAACUUCACUGUGAAAGACUUCUUGCUUAAGAAAGUUCAUGCGAAAUUUCAUAGUGAAUGUGCAUUCGGUUCGGACCGAACCGAAUCGGACCCAACCGCUGAGAUCGAAAACCGUGAAGAGAGUGAAGCUAGAACCGACCCGGACCGACAAGAUUAUAAAAACCGACCAAAUCUGGCAGUCUCCAAAAAUGCCCGUUUUCGCCGGCUGUGCCACCCAGAAUCCAAACCAAACCGAUAAAAACCGACCUAUUCCAAAUUUCAUUAGAAAGAUAACAUCAAGAGUUUUACAACAGUUGCUUAGGAUUGUCCAUCAAAAUUCAGACAAUCAAAUUAUUGGCCAACAAACUUCUAGAGUUACGUCAAAUUCAAAAUAUUAAAAGUUUAUGUAUUUUUUGACCAAAAAAUAGAUAUGGUAUGAACCAAAAUUCGGGUAUAACUUGUGUAUUUAUAGGAAAAUUAACCCUUAAAAUUAUAAAUUGAAAUAUUAUAAACUAGCGAUUAACCUAGACUAUCAACGGUUCGAUCCGACGGUUAAUCGUCGAUUCAAGGUUCACAAAAUCCAAGCCCUUAAUUAAUCAGACUAUUCAGAGCGAUUCCGAUUCCGAUUCUGACCCAUGACCAAUGCUUGGGGGACCUAGACAACACUAAUUGCAAGCCUUGGCAAUUUGUUAUUUAUCAUUCAAUACACAUUUGUCAUGCAACUUGACUGGUUCUAAGUCUUUUUAGUCUUCUCUUGAGGUUUUUCAUUUUUUGCCUCAGUUGACUUGAACUUGAACAAGAUGAAGUCUUCUUUUAAGCCAUGGCUGAAAUCACAAUGUCAUAACUUCUUUUAUCCAAACAAUCUUUAUGCUUCAAAGGUACAACACCUCAAAGCUGAGAUCUGUACCAAAACACCAAAGGCCUUAAUGCACAGGAAAUUACAUUUCUCAUGCAUAGAAACUUCUUGGUAGUUUUGAACACAAAAUCUCAAAACUCUGGUUAAAUUGUUCAACUCUUCACCUUCCCUUAAACUGAUUUUAACUAUAAAUCUAGAUCAACACCAAGAAUGUAAAGAAACAGCAAACACAUUGAGUCUUUUUCCCCUCCAUCUCAACUUUGAUCAAUAGUAUGUAUGCUACCUGUUUUCCAUUCUUGAAUUCUUGAUCAAAUUAUGACUAUUUAUCCAAAUAAUCUAAUCUUACAUGUUUAAUUCUUGAAUGUUCACAGAUGUCAAAUGGAGAAGAUAGUGUGGCUGUUGCAAUCCAAGGUUUGAUCAAGAAUUUGAGCAACACUACUCAACCUAAGCCCAAAAUAUUCCAAGUGGAUGAUCGCUUGCGCAAGGUGAAUGCAAAGGAUUAUGAGCCGAGGAUCGUGGCUCUCGGCCCCAUCCAUCGAGGGAAACCUCAUCUCGAGGCGAUGGAGCAGCACAAGCUGAGGUAUCUGCAGCAACUUCUGCAGAGAAGAGAUGAUCUCACCAUAGAAAAACUGGUCCAAAAAGUGAGAGAAAUGGAAGAAAUUGCCCUCCAAUGCUACUCAACACCUCUCAAUGUUGAUGCAGAUGAGUUUGUGAGAAUGCUGCUUCUUGAUGGCUGCUUCCUCAUCGAGCUCGUGAGAAGGCACAAGCACGUCUUCGAGGUCUCGACAGAGAAAGACCCCGUCUUCGAGCCCAAGACACUCAGCCAGAUCACUCAUGACCUGAUGCUAUUUGAGAACCAGCUCCCUUUCUCCAUCUUGAACCACCUCUUCAACAUGAUCAAAACAGAGCAUCCGGACGAGAAUCUGCACGACCUCGUCCUGUUCUUGGUCAACGACACGUUCCCUUGGUCGAACGCCCUAAAACUCGAUCCAGCAUCAGACGAGAACCACCACCUCCACCCUGACCAGGAUCAUCUAUUAGGCCUAAUCUACCAAUCUUUCACUCCAUUUUCAACUCAAACUCUUUCUACAACUAAAGAUAGGAACUCAUUAGCCCACAUAAACUCUGCCUCGGAGCUGAAGGAGGCCGGCAUUCGCCUCAAACGGUCUAAACAAAACCUCCUCACUUUCAAAGCCAGAGUCCUCAAAUUCCCACCUCUGCAAGUCUCAGGCGAGACAGAGUCCCUUCUGAGGAACUUGAUGGCCUACGAGCAGCUCUGCCUCGAUGAUGAUCACCCAAAACACGUCACAGACUACGCGUUCUUCAUGCAUUGCCUCAUCAGAUCAACAAAAGACAUUGAGAUACUGCGAUGCAGUGGGAUCAUUAGCAACUUCCUAGGAGGUGACGACAACAUCUGCCUAAUGUUUAACAGAUUGGGGACAAACUUCCUCAUCAGAUCAUCAGAUUUUUGUUACUCUGAUGUCUUUGUGAGCUUGAACAAGCAUUGUGGCCGCCGGCACAACAAAUGGAUGGCGAAAUUGAGGCGAAACUACUUCAAUAGUCCGUGGUCCGUGAUCAAGUUCGUUGCUGCUGCAGUGCUGCUGCUGCUCACCUUAACACAAACUGUUUUUGCUGUACUUGCUUAUAAGCAUAGGGAUGAUGUGAUGAGAGUGCGUUCGAUUUCAAUGUGAUUCAACUAUGUAUGUAUGUAGGGAGAAAAUCAUUUGUAAUCAUAUCAUCUGUUUAUCUAAUGUAAAACUUUAUCUUCCUUCAAAGCCAAAUACACUGCAACAGUUUCUAGUGAUGUUGAAUCAUGAUGCAUCAAAUUUUUGAAUGAAGAUAAAUUUCUAAAUUUUUGAAGCUAAAAAAAUGGAUGAAUGGUACAAUUAUUACAAAAUUGAUAGUUCAAGGUUUAAAAAAUCAUUUUCGUUAGUUCAGGAUAUACUUGACAGUGCGAAAAUAGUUUGAGGUUUUAAAUGAUAUUUAUCCUAAAAGAUUUCAGUAAAAAAUCUCUUCAAAAAUUUCCAGAGCUCAAAAGCAAGCAUAACUUAAUUAGCUGAAUGAUGCAGCCAAGUCUCAGACAAUAAAACUUAUUUAUGAGAAAUUUCCAUUUCUUAAUUUUGCCAAAUGCCAACUAGUAGGAAAGCAACAUGAAAAUUUCAUCUCAACGCGUACGUAUUCAAUUUUACAACUUUUUUUUCUUUUUCUCUAAUAAAAAGAAAUUAAAAUAGGAUGAAAUAUAACUAUAAAUAUACAAUUAAUCGAAGAAAUUAAUCAAAACAAAGUCUGUCUUUUCCUUCAUCCAUCAUGUUUCCGCACAUCUCUCUCCACAAUUCAGCCCCUUCUUGCUGAUUUUCUCUCUCAUCCUCUCUUCCUCUCUCACCAAAACUACCUCCGUCGCCGUGCCGGGCUGCCAUGGAAAGUGCAUCGUUCGUGCUGGUUUCCCUCGUAAUUGGGAGCACUUGGAUCGUCUGGUCGAAGCGGCAAAAGAAGCUCGAGCACCAUAGAAUGAGCUUGUUCGAUAGAAAUGGCGGAAACAUAUUGAAGAAGAAGCUAUCCAAGCGCAAGAGAUCUGCGCACCUCAAAAUAUACACAGCUCGGGAAAUGGAGAUCGCCACCAACAAUUACAGCGACACCAGAUCGGUAAUGCAGAGGUGCAAGCCGGGGAAAUUCUACCGCGGAACCUUCGAGAAUAAUCGACAGGCCGCCGUGAUGAAGAUUCCGGCGAUGGUGCCGUCGAAAAUCGAGCAGUUCGUCGACGAGGUGAUCUUCCUCUCCGGGGCCCAAGGGAAUCUGGUUAGGGUUUUGGGCUGCUGUUUGGAGACGAGCUCUCCCUUGGUAGUUUACGAGCUCCACGGCGACGGCAACCGCACCCUCGCCGACUGCUGCACGCGCGGCGGCGCGUGCGCUGGCAUCCUCCGGGCGGCGGUGAGGGGGCUCGCCGACCUGCGGUCGCGGAAUGCGAGGUUCCUCCACGGCAACUUCUGCGGCGGCAACGUUUUGUUGGAUGAUUCUUUUGAUGCGAAGCUGUUCUACGCCGCCGCCUCCGGCAACCUCGUCGUUGAUCAUCGAGAUCGCGGUGGUUUCGAUGACAAGGACGUGUGUAGCUUUGGAGCAGUGCUGGAUGAGCUGCUGUCGACGCGUCGGAGGGCGCCGGAGAGUGACGGGGAUCUCGCCACGUGGCUGCUGUCGGAAGAUUCGGAAGUAGUUUAUGUGAAGGAGGUUGCCGCCAUGGCUGCGAGAUGCAAGAGUGUACGGCCGGAGGAGAGGCCUACCUUGUCUGAAUUGGAAUCUACGCUUAGUAGAUUGAUUGGAAAUUUAUAGAGCACAACUAGUUGCUAAUACGUUUCUGC
rnacentral:lncRNA from 1 species